CAAGGAAUUUUCCCCAAUGGGCGCAAGCCUGAGGGAGCAACGCCGCGUGCGGGACGACGGCCUUCGGGUUGUAAACCGCUUUUCGUGGGGACGAUUGUGACGGUACCCGCGGAAUAAGCCCCGGCUAACUCUGUGCCAGCAGCCGCGGUAAGACAGAGGGGGCAAGCGUUGUCCGGACUGACUGGGCGUAAAGCGCGCGCAGGCGGUCUCGGGCGUCGGUGCUGAAAGUCCACCGCUUAACGGUGGGAUGCGUGCCGAUACGCCGAGACUGGAGGGUGGGCGAGGGUGGUGGAAUUGCCGGUGUAGUGGUGAAAUGCGUAGAGAUCGGCAGGAACACCCGUGGUGAAGACGGCCACCUAGCCCGCACCUGACGCUGAGGCGCGACAGCGUGGGGAGCGAACGGGAUUAGAUACCCCGGUAGUCCACGCCGUAAACGAUGCCGACUCGGUAUCCGUGAGGCGAAAGCCUCGGGGGUGCCCCAGCUCACGCGGUAAGUCGGCCGCCUGGGGACUACGAGCGC
rnacentral:rRNA from 1 species